rnacentral:lncRNA from 1 species
CCUACUCCCAGGUUAUUUUUUCCCUGUGUUUUUUUAGUUGCUUGUUGUAGUGUGCCACUGUCAGUGGGUCCAAAGCCCACAUGCCAUACUAGGGGCCCUGGUGUGUAUGACAAGUGGGACCCCCUGAGGAUUAAAUUAAUUUUGUUUGUUUAGUUUUGUGUUGUAUAUCCAAAUUUGGAAUAUUCCAGAAGAGGAAUAUGCCAAAUCUGGCAUAUCAAGAACAUCCUCUGUUCUUGUUAUUAACGGAGUUUGAUCGUGUGUAGUUUUUCCUUUGUUGUUUCUGGUGUUUUCUGCAUGCACAUAUAGCAGUGUAAUAUAUGGAUUUGGGGUAGGAGAACCCAAGGAAUCCAAUGGAGGUAGUAGUUUACAGUUUUGGACAGUCCUGCUGAAGUGUCAAUUCAUGAUGAGGUGGCACUUGUUUACCGAUGUAGGAUGGUUUAAGUGCAUCAUUAGGGGUUGGGCAUCCAUGCAUCAUAUUGGAUAGUGCAGCCGGUUGUGCAUGUGCUGUGGUGAAUAUUGUGUGUGAAUAAUUGAGCGCUCCUAACACGAUCGGGGUUGUUAUGGGGACCCCCUUGAUAAUUCGUUUUAGAUUAAAGCUGGUGUGGCAAGGCCCAACAUUGGUACUACAUUUGCCCAACAUAAUAAUUUUGUUAAUACUGAAAGCAUAGGGCGUCAUGAACCCGAGGAGUAAUUUCACAUAAUACAAGGAGGGCCAGUACUGAUGGUGCUGGUCCAAAACAAAGCACCGUGCGGGGCCAACCCGGGGCAACUCGGGAGAUUUCUAUCAGGCCACCUGUUAGAGCAUAUAUCUCCAUAUGUGGUUUUGGUAAUUGAUGACAAUUCCUAUGGACUAAUGGUUGCCUUAAGUUAUAUUUAUAUGAUUUGUCCAUAGGCACUUCUUGAAGUCCAACUAUUGGGUUCAAGGAGUUUAUAUGAUGACCAAGAUGAUAUUGAAGGUAUUAUCCAAAGAAUGAUCAUGGAGACACAAGGUUGAUCAAGAUCUCAGAUAAAGAGUAAAUCAAGAUGAUCAACACACAAAGUGUACAAGAUGUACCGAGAGGGAUCAAGUGAUCCCAUGGUAUGGUAAGCAUUGUCCAUUACGUGUUUGUGUACUAACCCAUGGUCUUCGUGAGAGUUAUAUGUGUGGGUUAGGUGUAUUUUCAUGGGCUUGCAUCAAAAGGAAGAUCUCAUACAACCCAUGAAGGAUGAUGUCAAGUGGUGAUCGUCAUCAAGACUGCGUUGUGCAAGUUCAAGAGGAUCAGCACGAAUAUAUCAUGCUUGAAGCUUGCCGUCCAUUGUGGUGGCAAUGGACUUGUGAAGGUAUGCUGAAGAGUGGCUCACCCAUAGUGAGUAUGGGGGAGCAAUCAACUAGUCUUCAUCAAGCCAACGCAAUCAAGAAAGGUGGUUCAUCUUGAGAAAGCCAAGAUCAUCAUCAUCUAGCUCAAGAGGUCGAUGUGCAAGGUAUAGGUUUGCCCUUGAUAGGUUUUCUGUUUAGGAUAGAAUGUUGUACUGUCAAGGGGGGCUCUCAAGUGAUUAUUUGCAUCCUUGCCCAUGAUAGAACCAUUUGGGUUGCCAAGCCUAUUGUGACUAACCUCUUAGGACCCAACGUGGUUGGGGACCAAAAAGCUCAAACUUGAUCAAUAGGUGUUUGUGGAGGACAUUAGAGACUUGGAUACAUAAUGAAGAAUUAAGGGGUCUUCAUCAUUCAUAUUAUCUCAAGCCAAGUCAUUUGGAUUAUCGAGUUUCUAUCUUAUAUCCAAUGUGCCUCCUUACGGUAACUUGUAAACUAUUUACAUUGUUAGUUGCUUGCCCCUUUGCAUGUUGUGGUUUUGUACCUUGCAUGUGUUUGUAUAUGUUGUGCUUCCAACUUGCUUAUCUUGAGUAAGCGAAUAUGUGUAUGUUGGUUUGCAUAUCAUGUACAUGUAAGUCUUGUAUUGAGCCUUAUUGCAUC